UACGAGGGGGGGCAAGCGUUGUUCGGAAUUAUUGGGCGUAAAGGGUGCGUAGGCGGUUUGGUAAGUCUUAUGUGAAAUCUACAGGCUCAACUUGUAGUCUGCAUGAGAAACUGCCGUGCUUGAGGACUGGAGAGGAGACUGGAAUUUACGGUGUAGCGGUGAAAUGCGUAGAUAUCGUAAGGAAGACCAGUGGCGAAGGCGGGUCUCUGGACAGUUCCUGACGCUGAGGCACGAAGGUCAGGGGGAGCAAACGGG
rnacentral:rRNA from 1 species